GAUGAAGAACGCAGCGAAAUGCGAUAAGUAAUGUGAAUUGCAGAAUUCAGUGAAUCAUCGAAUCUUUGAACGCACAUUGCGCCCGCUGGUAUUCCGGCGGGCAUGCCUGUUCGAGCGUCAUUUCAACCCUCAAGCUCUCCGGAGUUUGGUGUUGGGGCGCCUGGGGCUUUUCGACCUCAGGGCCCUCAAGUCCAUCGGCGGGACCGCCAGGACACUGAGCGCAGUAGUAUUAUUUCGCUCGGUAGGAUCUUCCACGGCGGGUCGAUCUGGCCGCUAAACCCCCCAAUUAUCACCAAAGGUUGACCUCGGAUCAGGUAGGAAUACCCGCUGAACUUAAGCAUAUCAAUAAGCGGAGGA
rnacentral:misc_RNA from 1 species